UAAAGUGGCUAGUGAUACAUGUAUUACAUAAGGAUGCAGUCGAUGAUAUAGAGUACAGUAUCAACGUAUGCAUAUGAGAUGAACAAUGUAGGGUAAGUAACAUUAUAUAAGGUAGCAUUGUUUAAAGUGGCUAGUGAUAUAUUUACAUCAUUUCCCAUCAAUUCCCAUGAUUAAAGUGGCUGGAGUAGAGUCAGUGUCAUUGACAGUGUGUUGGCAGUAGCCACUCAAUGUUAGUGGUGGCUGUUUAACAGUCUGAUGGCCUUGAGAUAGAAGCUGUUUUUCAGUCUCUCGGUCCCAGCUUUGAUGCACCUGUACUGACCUCGCCUUCUGGAUGACAGCGGGGUGAACAGGCAGUGGCUCGGGUGGUUGAUAUCCUUGAUGAUCUUUAUGGCCUUCCUGUAGCAUCGGGUGGUGUAGGUGUCCUGGAGGGCAGGUAGUUUGCCCCCGGUGAUGCGUUGUGCAGACCUCACUACCCUCUGGAGAGCCUUACGGUUGAGGGCGGUGCAGUUGCCAUACCAGGCGGUGAUACAGCCCGCCAGGAUGGUGGGAGGGUUAAAUACACAACAGGUAAUUAAAUGGCAUUGAAACCAGGUGUGUUGGAAGACAAGACAAAACCAAUGGGAAAUGAAAAAUGGAUCAAUGAUGACUAGAAGACCGGUGACGUCGACCGAGGAGCACCGCCCGAACAAGGAGAGGCAACAACUUCGGCAGAAGUAGUGACAACGGGUUUAGGAUUGUAUAGGGUUAAAACAUUAGGUUUAGUCUCUCAUUCUAAAUGGUUAAGGUAAAGGUCAAGGUUUGGAUAGGGUUAAGGUACUGGUUAAGGAUUGGAUAGGGUUAAGGUACUGGUCAAGGUUUGGAUAGGGCUAAGGUACUGGUUAAGGAUUCUAUAGGGUUAAGACAUUGAGUUUAGUCUCUCAUUCUGAAUGGUUAAGGUAAAGGUCAAGGUUUGGAUAGGGUUAAGUUAAAACCAACUAUAAAAACCAGUGUCUGUGACCAGGAUCAAACACACAGCCUUCUGAUCCAGAGGUAUGGGAUUCCACCUCUCCAUCCGCUCAUCCACAACACUCCAGCAAAACCCAGGCCUACUUGAUGGUAAUAGUGCUCACUGUUGCCUCUAGUGGCUGGUUUUGAAGGCAUUUCCCGAUGUCUUCAGGAAAGCGAUAGACGUCCAAUUUCAACAAUAAUCUUGAACGAACUGGCUGCACACACACACACACACACACACACACACACACACACACAAUGCCUCGGAUCCCUAAGCGCUUCCUGCUAGCCGACCUGUGAAUGUCUAUCUGCUAGGAGGGCUCUUACUCUGGCCCUUUGCCUCAUACUUGGAGAUUGCCCCACAUUUGGAGGAGGGAUGGGAUGAUGGUACAAGUCAGUUAGUAUGACGCGAGGGCACUGAGGGAGUGUCCCAAAUGUCAGCCUAUUACCUAUAGUGCACUACUUUUGCCCAGGGUUCAUAGGGAAGAGGAUGCCAUUUGGUAUGGUACCUACCUACUGCAUCAUUUUAAAGAUACUGUAUAGAUAGAUAUAUACAGUACCAGUCAAAGUUUGGACUCAGCUACUCAAUCAAGGUUUUUUCUUUGUUUUGUACUAUUUUGUACAAAACUAUGACACAUAUGGAAUCAUGCAGUAACCAAAAAAGUGUAAAACAAAUCAAAAUAUAAUUUAUAUUUGAGAUUCUUCAAAGUAGCCACCCCUUGCCUCGAUAACAGCUUUGCACACUCUUGGCAUUCUCUCAACCGGCUUCAUGAGGUAGUCACCUGGAAUGCAUUUCAAUUAACAUGUGUGCCUUGUUAAAAGUUAAUUUGUGGAAUUUCUUUCCUUCUUUAAUGAGUUUGAGCCAAUCAGUUGUGUUUUGACAAGGUAGGGGUGGUAUACAGGUAAAAGACAAAGUCCAUAUUAUGGCAACAACAGCUAAGCAAAGAGAAACAACAGUGGGUCCAAACUUUUGACUGGUACUAUAUGUAGUGCACUACUUUUGACCAGGGUUCAUAUAUGUAGUGCACUACUUUUGACCAGGGUUCAUAUAUGUAGUGCACUACUUUUGGCCAGGGUUCAAAUAUGUAGUGCACUACUUUUGGCCAGGGUUCAUAUAUGUAGUGCACUACUUUUGACCAGGGUUCAUAUAUGUAGUGCACUACUUUUGGCCAGGGUUCAAAUAUGUAGUGCACUACUUUUGGCCAGGGUUCAUAUAUGUAGUGCACUACUUUUGACCAGGGUUCAUAUAUGUAGUGCACUACUUUUGGCCAGGGUUCAUAUAUGUAGUGCACUACUUUUGGCCAGGGUUCAUAUAUGUAGUGCACUACUUCUGACCAGGGUUCAUAUAUGUAGUGCACUACAUUUGACCAGGGUUCAUAUAUGUAGUGCACUACUUUUGACCAGGGCUGCUGUUUAACAGGCUCCCAACCAGCUGUGCUAUUGUGUUAGUUUUUUCGCAUUGUUAGUAACUUGUUUUGUACAUAAUGUUGCUUCUACCGUCUCUUAUGACCGGAAAGAGCUUCUGGACGUCAGAACGGCGAUUCCUCACCUCGAACUGGAUGAAGAUUUUUUCUUUAAUGAGUCCGAUGCAAAGGAUUUACUGCUUUGUCAAGGUCCAAAUCCCCGUCAU
ensembl:lncRNA